AUGGCUUUGUACACACAGUUUUUAUGUCAUCAUUUUAUUCUGGAGAGUUACAUGACAUUUUUAAGCUCUCUGUUUUCAAUUUAAUCUUAAAUUCUCUGGAAUUGCUAGGAAGAGUGAGCAAAGAUAAUGAAAAAAUUCUGAGAAAUAAGGACAUAAUAGAAGUGGAGAAAAUAAGUCAAACUUGGUGAGCAGGCUAGGCUGUUUGUCUAACCGUUGAGUCAAAGGAUUGAUUAGGUCAGAUGAGAAAUGCUAGAAAGACAGGGGAAAAAAUUCCUGGAAGAUUUGAAGGACUUUGGAGUUUCUGUGAUUACCGUAAUUAUUUAUGUUAAAACAUGAGAUAAUCGUCCCUUAUAUUAAACACUGCAGUGCUCCAAGGGGUGGUGAUGAAUAGGCUUCAUGCUUUGUCACUUAAUGUUCAUUUCUUCUUGGGAACUAUAAAGGGGAGUUCAUUUUUACAGUCUUGUCAUUUGCUUUUUUCCCCUCUUGUAGCUAGAUGAAAACAUCACAGAAAACAACAAUAGAUCACUUGGCACAUAUAUUUAUUUAUUCGUUAAUUGCAUGCAUGAUUAUUGUGCACUGACAUUAAUGGUAUGUCUGUUAGACUAUAGUAUGAGAUGCAGGUUCACAUGGCUGAAGAGACCUGGAGAGCACAGAUCCUCCAGUAAAGGCAUCCAGGAGAACUCUUGAACUGGAGAUUACAGGAGCUUGUGAGUUGUGCCCAAUGUGGGUGCCGAACUGAAGCUCAAGAGCAGCUGCAAGAACAGCGUGCGUCCUUAACCUCCGUGCCAUCUCUCCAGUCUUUUGCCAGCUUUCACGUGAGUAACAGUGAGAGAAGGAGAGUUUAGAAACAGUAUUAAGAUGCGAGGGGUUGGAGUCUGUUCUCUGGAGGAUGGUGGUGAUCAAUAGGAUCCUGUGUAUCUGAACCUGACCUAGAACUCACUAUGUAGUAAAGGAUGCCCUUGAACGUGGGGUCCUUCUGCUGCAUCUCCAUAAUGCCAGAAUUACAGUCCGGUGUCUGGUUUAUAGGAAACUGG
rnacentral:lncRNA from 1 species